UUGCUUUCAUUCAGGGAAGGCGGAAAAAGCCUUCCAGCAGAGCCCACUCCGGCUCCGCUCUUCUCCCUGUGUGCCUGUGUCCCCUUGUCUCUGCUGCCGAGCUGAGUGACCAACCCUCCGUCACACUGGCUGCCGGCCCGGCUGGACGGCUCGCAGGCAAAAAGCCCGUAUCCUCCACGGCGAUGUGGCCCCCGGUGCUGCAAGCUGCCUCGUGGCCUCUCGUGACGUUUGCGUGGAAAAGAGAAGAUGUUUUCAACCUUCCUGCGUUCGAGUUUGGGGUCUUGACCAAAGUUUGAAAAAAAAAAUAAAAAUGAAACACUCAAGGGUUCUGGCCGACGACAGACUGGAUUGAGCUCGGCCAAACUCAGAGGAGGGAUUGCUCUCUCUUCACAUUACCAAUUUUUCCAGAUUCAAAAUGGAUCAGGAUCUAUGAAAGAACAAAGACGGGAAAACGCACACACUGUCUGCGUCACUGCCCUACCUCUGUACGUCGUUUGUGUUGGUAUGACCGUUACGUAAUACUUCCUCUAGAGGGCAGUGCCGAGUGCCAAGGUGCAGGCAUCAACAAACAAGCAACCACUGAGGAGUCCAAGAAGGAGCUGGUAUGUCCGAGCCAUAAAGGACUUUCCUUGCAGCAGUCUAAGGGUGAAUUUGAAUAGUCCAAUAACAUCCUUUCCUAACCACUUGAUGGAAAGAAAAUCACAUGGUCAGGGGAAAGAUGUGAAGGAGAAGGACUGAGGAGACGACAAUCAUGGUGUAAGAAUUCAUGUCUACUUACCCUUAACCAGUGUUUCUUAAAUGCUUUUAAUGGGCACCUACUUUUGCUAUUGCGGCUCAAUUGGUGACCAUAUCAAUCGUGACAUAAUAUCACUGCUAUGACUAUUUUUUACAGCAAUUUUUUGCACCACGCAUCUCCACUUAGUUUGAAUAAGCAGCCAUUUCGAGGAGAUGUAUGGUAUUAAACAAAUGAAUCCAUGCAGUACAACCCGAUCAUUACUGUUUUAUCAUUUUUAAACAGGCUGCUUAUAACAAAAAUAAUAAUA